CCAGCUCAGGUGAGGUGAAGUCUUCAGCUCCACUCUGUGAACUCUUGGAUCUGUGAGGAGAACCAGGACUCAGCGUCACUGCUAGCAAAGAUGAAGGAAGGUCUGCAGACCGAGCUUCUGGAAACACUUGGGAAUUUGAGCGAUAAGGAACUGAAGCUCUUUAAGUGGUAUCUACAGAAAUCUGAGGCACUGGAUGGUUUACCAGCCAUCCCAAAGAGUGAUCUUCAGACAGCUGAUAAACUGGAAAUAGUGAAUUUGAUGAUCAAUAAAUACAAACCUGAAAAUGCUUUGGGAGUCGCACAAAAGAUUUUGGACAAAGUCAAGACUCGUACAAAUAAACCUUCACACGCUGUGGAGAAACAAGAAAAACCAGUCCAUACAGUUUCAUCAGAAGAGUGUCUUUUACGGUGUCAUCGGUGUCUAAAGCGUAAGCUCAGAGAGAAGUUCCAAAUUGCCUUGGAGGGAAGUGUCAGAGCUGAAAAUCCAACCCAAGUCCCACUGAAUCAGAUCUACACAGAGCUCUACAUCACAGAGGGAGGGACUGCAGAGGUCAAU